rnacentral:rRNA from 1 species
GUAGUCUCGCACAGAUGCAUAUCAAUAAGCGGAGGAAAAGAAACUAACAAGGAUUCCCUUAGUAACGGCGAGUGAAGCGGGAAGAGCUCAAAUUUGAAAUCUUCAAGGUUUUACCUUGACGAAUUGUAGUUUAAAGAAGUGUUUUCUGUUGAAGUUUUGGUAAAAGUUCUUUGGAAUAGGACAUCAUAGAGGGUGAGAAUCCCGUAUUUGACCAUUAUUUUCAGCUGUGUGAUACACUUUCAAAGAGUCGGAUUGUUUGGGAUGCAGUCCAAAAUGGGUGGUAAAUUUCAUCUAAAGCUAAAUAUUGGCGAGAGACCGACAGCGAACAAGUACCGUGAGGGAAAGAUGAAAAGAACUUUGAAAAGAGAGUUAAACAGUACGUGAAAUUGUCAAAAGGGAAGCGUUUGACACCAGUGUUGUUUUCUCGAAAAUCAAUUAAAAAGAGUUAGAUUUUGUUGUGUAUUGACCUUAACAGCUUGCAUUUCAAUUUUCUUGCUUUUUUUAAUGCACUUUUCGUUUAACAAGUCAACAUCAGUUUCUUUUGUUGUAAAAAGGUCAUUGGAAGGUGGCUUUCUUUUCGGAGAAAGUGUUUAUAGCCUUUGACUCCUGCAAUCGGAGAGACUGAGGUCUGCAGCGUAGAUCCUUCGGGGUUAGAUACAUUUGUGCUAAGUUAUAGCUUUUUAUAGACAACUUGUUGACUAUGAUUAGUCUUGUAGCUUACUCGCUUAUGCUAUUUUACCUACGCUUAGGAUGUUGAAGAUGUAGCACAUCAU